ACGGGUGAGUAACACGUAGGCAACCUGCCCACAAGACAGGGAUAACUACCGGAAACGGUAGCUAAUACCCGAUACAUCCUUUUCCUGCAUGGGAGAAGGAGGAAAGACGGAGCAAUCUGUCACUUGUGGAUGGGCCUGCGGCGCAUUAGCUAGUUGGUGGGGUAAAGGCCUACCAAGGCGACGAUGCGUAGCCGACCUGAGAGGGUGAUCGGCCACACUGGGACUGAGACACGGCCCAGACUCCUACGGGAGGCAGCGGUAGGGAAUCUUCCGCAAUGGGCGAAAGCCUGACGGAGCAACGCCGCGUGAGUGAUGAAGGUUUUCGGAUCGUAAAGCUCUGUUGCCAGGGAAGAACGUCUUGUAGAGUAACUGCUACAAGAGUGACGGUACCUGAGAAGAAAGCCCCGGCUAACUACGUGCCAGCAGCCGCGGUAAUACGUAGGGGGCAAGCGUUGUCCGGAAUUAUUGGGCGUAAAGCGCGCGCAGGCGGCUUUUUAAGUCUGGUGUUUAAUCCCGAGGCUCAACUUCGGGUCGCACUGGAAACUGGGGAGCUUGAGUGCAGAAGAGGAGAGUGGAAUUCC
rnacentral:rRNA from 1 species